rnacentral:rRNA from 1 species
GUGAACGCUGGCGGUAGGCCUAACACAUGCAAGUCGAACGGCAGCACCGUAAGAGCUUGCUCUUACGGGUGGCGAGUGGCGGACGGGUGAGGAAUACAUCGGAAUCUACUUUUUCGUGGGGGAUAACGUAGGGAAACUUACGCUAAUACCGCAUACGACCUACGGGUGAAAGCAGGGGAUCUUCGAACCUUGCGCGAUUGAAUGAGCCGAUGUCGGAUUAGCUAGUUGGCGGGGUAAAGGCCCACCAAGGCGACGAUCCGUACCUGGUUUGAGAGGAUGAUCAGGCAAAAUGGGAACGAGAAAAGGGUCAAAACUCCUAGGGGAGCAGGAAGUGGGAAAAAUUGGAAAAGGGGGGAAGGCCGGACCAGGCAAUACCGGGUGGGGAAGAAGGGCUUUGGGUUUGAAAGCCCUUUUGUUGGGAAAGAAAAGCAGCAGGUUAAUACCCCGCUGUUCUGACGGUACCCAAAGAAUAAGCACCGGCUAACUUCGUG